AGCAACUUGGCGCAGGGGUAGCGCGCGGGGCUCAUAACCCCGAGGUCGCUUGAUCGAAACGAGCAGUUGCUA
rfam:Phlebia centrifuga strain FBCC195 PHLCENscaffold_515, whole genome shotgun sequence.